rnacentral:piRNA from 2 species
UGGGAAUGUCUGCCUGAAAAGUGUCAGGA